UACCAGCACCCCGAGUGGUCGGGACGUUUAUUGGGCCUAAAGCAUCCGUAGCCGGUUCUCCGAGUCUUCCGUUAAAUCCAACUGCUUAACAGGUGGGCUGCGGAAGAUACUAUAGAGCUAGGAGGCGGGAGAGGCAAGCGGUACUCGAUGGGUAGGGGUAAAAUCCGUUGAUCCAUUGAAGACCACCAGUGGCGAAGGCGGCUUGCCAGAACGCGCUCGACGGUGAGGGAUGAAAGCUGGGGGAGCAAACCGG
rnacentral:rRNA from 1 species